rnacentral:tRNA from 1 species
GUUAGGGUGGCAGAGCCCGGAUAUUGCAAAAGGUCUAAGCCCUUUCUAUAGAGGUUCAAAUCCUCUCCUUAACU